rnacentral:lncRNA from 1 species
GUUGUGAGGAAGUGACGGCGUCCUCAGAUCAGAUUGAGAGCAGGACUGAGGAGGGACAAGGAGCAGCUUCUUCUCCACACAUGAAGCUGGAAAGUGUCUGUAGUCCUAUGAUAGAAUUCUUUGUCUGUAGUCCAUCGAACGGAUUCAGCAGGUGUGUAAUCUCCAAUGAGUCAGUGUGAGGACAGAGAGGAGGGAGUGCCUCCCUCUAAAAGCACUCUGUGUGGAGACCAUGAGAGCCGGACCAAAGCUUGGAGAACAAAGCAGCAGGACACUCAAUACUAUGUGGGGGCUGGACCUGGGCCUACCAGCUGUGUGUCCAUGAAAAGUGAUUGGUCGAAGGAUUGGCCCAUUAAUUUAAAAGAUGUUGAUCCAUCUAAAGAGCAAAGGUGAGAAUUAAUGUCACAGCUGCAGUUUUCCAUCAUUAGUAAAACAUUUGU